GUAUUCACUUCCACAGCACAUAUACUAAAAUUGGAACAAUACAGAGAAGAUUAGCAAUGGCACUCGUGCAAGGAUGAUAUGUAAAUCUGUGAAGCAUUCCAUAUUUUG
ensembl:snRNA U6 U6 spliceosomal RNA